rnacentral:rRNA from 1 species
UACGGAGGGAGCUAGCGUUGUUCGGAAUUACUGGGCGUAAAGCGCACGUAGGCGGCUUUGUAAGUUAGAGGUGAAAGCCCGGAGCUCAACUCCGGAACUGCCUUUAAGACUGCAUCGCUUGAAUCCAGGAGAGGUGAGUGGAAUUCCGAGUGUAGAGGUGAAAUUCGUAGAUAUUCGCAAGAACACCAGUGGCGAAGGCGGCUCACUGGUCCGGUUCUGACGCUGAGGCGCGAAAGCGUGGGGAGCAAACAGG